rnacentral:rRNA from 1 species
CCUACGGGGGGCAGCAGUGAGGAAUAUUGGUCAAUGGGCGCGAGCCUGAACCAGCCACGUAGCGUGAAGGAUGACUGCCCUACGGGUUGUAAACUUCUUUUAUAAAGGAAUAAAGUGAGGCACGUGUGCCUUUUUGUAUGUACUUUAUGAAUCAGAAUCGGCUAACUCCGUGCCAGCAGCCGCGGUAAUACGGAGGAUCCGAGCGUUAUCCGGAUUUAUUGGGUUUAAAGGGUGCGUAGAUGGGUUGUUAAGUCAGUUGUGAAAGUUUGCGGCUCAACCGUAAAAUUGCAAUUGAUACUGGAAGCCUUGAGUACAGUUGAGGUAGGCGGAAUUCGUGGUGUAGCGGUGAAAUGCUUAGAUAUCACGAAGAACUCCGAUUGCGAAGGCAGCUUACUAAACUGCCACUGACAUUGAUGCUCGAAAGUGUGGGUAUCAAACAGGAUUAGAUACCCGAGUAGUC